UGCAGGCCAGAAUGUCCAAGGAUACCUAUCAGACAGCAGGCAUUUAAUCUACAGUUGGAGAUUGAAAUCAGAAACUUGGAAACUUCCUCACAAGGACCUUUGAUGAUGGGUGUUUAAAAAAACUUGGAAUGAGAACUUCUGAGAAGAUGGUGGAAUGGUGAGCAGCAGAGAAACAGUCUCUCUGA
rfam:Heterocephalus glaber contig78893, whole genome shotgun sequence.